rnacentral:tRNA from 1 species
AGAUUUAAAAGUGUAAUAUACAAUUCUUU